UGCCAUCAUCACGCUAUGCUGCUUCCCCUCCCCUUUUGUUUUUCUCUUUUACUUUUAUUUUAAGUAGAGAGAACAAAUUCCUCAGAGGAAUGAAGCAGGUACUACCACAGAAACAUGGGGACCUCAGACAUUAUCGCAUGGAGAUAUUGCAACAUCAGCUGGAAAUCUUGGUUCACACUGCAAGUCAGCACAGAGAGGGAAGCUGAAUGCUCGGAGCUUAACGGGCAAAGAUCAAGCCAGAGCCUGCUCAGUGGACCAGCGGGAACACGUGAUGACAACACCACAAUCUUGUUCCAUCUGUUGAUGUGCUCCUGGCCCCCUUGGGCACGUCUCCAUCUAGUUUUGCAUGCAGCCAGAUCAAUUUACUCCUUCCUACAGAACACACAGGCUGGGAUCGGCCUAAAUAAUUAUUGUGGAAAUCCCCCUUCCAUUUGAACCUUUGAUAAAUAAAAUCAAGGAGCUUCUAAACACCAGGAAAUUUAUAGUCCCUUUGGUUGAUUGAAGAACAGUGCAAACAGCAUGAAACAGCAAAAUAGCUCCCAUGGUGGCUAGCAAACUAGAGGUAGUAGUAACU
rnacentral:lncRNA from 11 species